CACAAAUCUCAUCUGCUGAGGAACUGUAUGCACUUCUUCUUCAACUUCUAAAAUUUUCUGCAACUAUACAUACAGCUUUCUGUAUCUAUACUCAAAACCCUACAAAUGGUGAAGUUGUAGACAGAGAAAAAAAAGUGAGCUAAAAGCUUGGGCGAAAUGCCCACGUCACCUGAAGAAAACCCUAACCCUAAGGUUAAAUUACCGGCGCCGACGAAGAAACGGCGGUCGAGCUUAUCGGAUAUAUGGUACAACAAGGAUCCUCAGGCGUUGAAGCAAUUAGUGCUUCAAAUGCGAGCUCAAUCGGUUUCUAAUUCAACUACUCCACCUUCUGAGCCCGAUUCUGAUACCCAAACCCUAACCCUAGACGACCCGGAACCGACCCGUUUCUCUGCUCCGGAUUAUAUUGACUUGCUCUCUGAUGAGUUGCUGUUGAGUGUGCUUUCGAAGGUUCCAGAAGAACAGCAGCACAUUUCGAAUUCAUUGGUUUGUAAGCGUUGGUGUAAUCUUAGUGGGAAGUUGGUUAGGUCUAUUAAGCUGUUGGAUUGGGAAUUUUUGGAAUCUGGGAGGCUAAGUUAUAGGUUCCCGGGUUUAAUUGACGUUGACCUAGUUCGAGCUUGUGUGAAAUCAAGGAGGAAUUCGGGGAUUGUUAUGAGUCAUAGGCUCGUUUCGUUGCAUUUGGAUUCGAGCUUUGUCAAUGGAGGGUUUGUUAGGAAAGACGGGUUUUUGGGGAAAGAGGUGGUUGAUGGAGGGGUUAAGGUUUUAGUUGAGGGUUGUGCUAAUUUAAGGAGAAUGGUGUUGAUGAAUGUGAGUGUAGAGGGGCUGAGUUAUUUGGGGGAAAAGUGUGAAACUUUGCAGGAGUUGGAAUUGCAUUUCUGUGAUGACUUUACAUUGAAGGGGUUAUUUGGUUGUAGGAAUUUGCAGAUACUGAAAUUGGUUGGUUGCAUUGAUGGGUUGUAUAAUUCAAUGGUUUCGGAUAUAGGGUUGACUAUUUUGGCUCAAGGGUGUAGGCGUUUAUUUAAGCUUGAGCUGGUCGGAUGCGAAGGAAGUUAUGAUGGGAUCAAAGCAAUUGGGCAGUGCUGUCAGAUGCUAGAGGAAUUGGUACUUUGUGAUCAUAGGAUGGAUGGUGGGUGGUUGUCAGCUCUGUCAUAUUGUAGCAACUUGAAAACUUUGAAGCUUCAUUGUUGUAAGGUUUUGGAUUCAAGUCCUGGCCCUGAUGAGCACUUGGGUUCCUGUUCUACUCUCGAGGAGCUACAUUUAGACCAGUGUCAAUUACGGGACAAGCAAGGUGUGAGAGCAUUGUUUCUGGUCUGUGAAACUGUUCGAGAGCUUGUGUUUAGGGACUGUUGGGGAUUAGACAACACUAUAUUUGCCACUGCAAGUGUUUGUCGGAGCUUGAGAUUUCUCUCUUUGGAAGGAUGCUCCUUGCUCACGACUGAAGGAUUAGAUUCGGUAGUUCAGUCAUGGACAGUGCUUGAAAGGCUUAGGGUAGUCUCAUGUAACAAUAUAAAAGAUAGUGAAAUAACACCACAACUAGCGAGUUUAUUUUCUGUUCUCAAAGAGCUAAAGUGGAGGCCAGAUUCUCGGUCUUUCCUUUCAUCAGGUCUUGAAGGGACUGGAAUUGGGCAGAAAGGUGGUAGAUCGUUGCGGAGGAAGUGAAGUGUGGACAAACUGAUGCUGAGAAAUGGAUUCCUUUGUACACCUUGAGAGGUUUAGCCGUGCAAAUACUAUGAAACUGCAAGAGGAGAGCCAGAAUUGUACUUGACUCUGCAAAUCUCAGUGUGUGGUGAUCUGAACCUCGUGAUGAAGCCGUGGAGAUGGGACAUGAGUGGUAUCGCUCUGAGCAGGUGAUGACAUCUAACAAAUUAUCCUGCUUGAAGAGGUCUUCUUCUUCUACGUUUAGAAACUUCUUAUUGACUUGGUGAAUCAUAGUGAAGGGCAUGGGGCUUUCUGGUAGCUGGAAUUUCUUGCUUUGAGUACCCGGAGGUCACACAAAGUUGGCUUCUACUAUCGCAACUAAUUGGGCUUUUGUGUUUUAUUAACAAAUGGUUUCAACUAGGCCAUGUAAAAAUAGCACGGGCUAGCCUUUUCGGAUCGGUCUUUCAAAAAUAGCCAGCGUUUGUAAAGUCAUUAAAAAAUAGCCACUAUUUUGCUGCAACAUGGAAAGUUCCAGCAUAAUAUACUAGAGAUCGGUGCACCUGUCUAUGAAAAUAUGCUGGAAGUCUAGUAUAUUAUAUUAGAACUCCAGUAUAUUAUACCGGAGUAUUUUCCGGAUUUUGAAC